GGCUGGUCUGAAGGUAGUGAGUUAUCUCAAUUGAUUGUUCACAGUCAGCUACAGAUCAAAAUCCUUGUUCUACUCUUUCCCCCUUCUCACUACGGUACUUGAAUAGCCUUAU
ensembl:misc_RNA Y_RNA Y RNA